GAUGAACGCUGGCGGCGUGCCUAAUACAUGCAAGUCGAGCGAACAGAUGAGGAGCUUGCUCCUCUGACGUUAGCGGCGGACGGGUGAGUAACACGUGGAUAACCUACCUAUAAGACUGGGAUAACUUCGGGAAACCGGAGCUAAUACCGGAUAAUAUAUUGAACCGCAUGGUUCAAUAGUGAAAGACGGUUUUGCUGUCACUUAUAGAUGGAUCCGCGCCGCAUUAGCUAGUUGGUAAGGUAACGGCUUACCAAGGCGACGAUGCGUAGCCGACCUGAGAGGGGAAUCGGCCACACGGGAACUGAGACCCGGCCCAGACUCCUACGGGAGGCAGCAGUAGGGAAUCUUCCGCAAUGGGCGAAAGCCUGACGGAGCAACGCCGCGUGAGUGAUGAAGGUCUUCGGAUCGUAAAACUCUGUUAUUAGGGAAGAACAAAUGUGUAAGUAACUAUGCACGUCUUGACGGUACCUAAUCAGAAAGCCACGGCUAACUACGU
rnacentral:rRNA from 1 species